rnacentral:rRNA from 1 species
AACGAACGCUGGCGGCAUGCCUAACACAUGCAAGUCGAACGAGACCUUCGGGUCUAGUGUCGCACGGGUGCGUAACGCGUGGUAACCUGCCCUUAGGUUCGGAAUAACUCAGAGAAAUUUGAGCUAAUACCGGAUAAUGUCUUCGCACCAAAGAUUUAUCGCCUUUGGAUGGGCCCGCGUAGGAUUAGCUUGUUGGUGGGGUAAUGGCCUACCAAGGCGACGAUCCUUAGCUGGUCUGAGAGGAUGAUCAGCCACACUGGGACUGAGACACGGCCCAGACUCCUACGGGAGGCAGCAGUGGGGAAUAUUGGACAAUGGGCGAAAGCCUGAUGCAGCAAUGCCGCGUGAGUGAUGAAGGCCUUAGGGUUGUAAAGCUCUGUUACCAGGGAUGAUAAUGACAGUACCUGGAGAAUAAGCGCCGGCUAACUCCGUG